GCUGGAAUCGCUAGUAAUCGCGAAUCAGAAUGUCGCGGUGAAUACGUUCCCGGGUCUUGUACACACCGCCCGUCACACCAUGGGAGUUGGUAACGCCCGAAGUCAGUGACCCAACCAGUAGGAGGGANCUGCCGAAGGCGGGACCGGUAACUGGGGUGAAGUCGUAACAAGGUACC
rnacentral:rRNA from 1 species